rnacentral:misc_RNA from 1 species
CUGACUACUGGCUACGGACCUUGCACUUUGUAUUAGUUUGUUCAGUUUUAGAAGGAUCAAUUAUCCUUUCACUUAAGGUUUGCUUCGGCACGCGGUUGUUCGUGUGCGGCAUCACAAGCAUCAUGCGUUAGUGUGUGGUGGUGGGUGGUGUGUGGCUGACACAAUUGUUUUUGGGGUGCGUUGGUGCAUUGUUGGGUGUCUGGGAUGGCACAUGGUUGUUGUUCCUGGCCUGGCUGCAGGUGGCUGUCGCGGUGUGUGGUGGUUGGUUGUGGUGUGGGUGUGUUGUGUUACUCCAAAUCAUUGACCCCAAUGAACCCGUAAUGAAACUUAAAGCAUAACCAAGAGGGUGAACAUCCCCCAGGAAUCCCGGAAAAGAAAAUAUGGGAACCGAAAUAUGACACUGUUGGCGAAAAAAAUUUAUACACAUCUCCCUGUCCGCCCAUACCCCUAAUAGUUCGUGGCCAACAAGCUGU